AUUGAACGCUGGCGGCAGGCCUAACACAUGCAAGUCGAGCGGAGCGGCGGACGGGUGAGUAAUGCCUAUGAAUCUGCCUGGCAGUGGGGGAUAACGUCCGGCAACGGGCGCUAAUACCGCAUACUAUCAGAUGAGCCUCGGUCGGAUUGCCUAUUUGGUGGGGGAAAGGCCGACCAAGGCGACGAUCCGUAACUGGUCUGCGAGGAUGAUCAGGAACACGGGAACUGGGACACGGUCCAGACUCCUAAGGGAGGCAGCAGUGGGGAAUAUUGGACAAUGGGCGAAAGCCUGAUCCGGCCAUGCCGCGUGUGUGAAGAAGGGCUUCGGAUUGUAAAGCACUUUAAGUUGGGAGGCGUUACCAACAGAAUAAGCACCGGCUAACUUCGUGCCAGCAGCCGCGGUAAUUC
rnacentral:rRNA from 1 species